GUGCAGCAGGCGCGAAAACUCCGCAAUGCGCGAAAGCGUGACGGGGUCACCCCGAGUGCCGUCCGCUGAGGAUGGCUUUUGCCUGGUCUAACCAGCCGGGUGAAUAAGGGGAGGGCAAGUCUGGUGUCAGCCGCCGCGGUAAUACCAGCUCCCCGAGUGGUUGGGACGAUUAUUGGGUCUGAAGCGUCCGUAGCCGGCCGGAAAAGUUCCCCGUUAAAUCUGGCGAUCCAAUCGUUGGGCUGCGGGGAAUACUCUUCGGCUUGGGGGCGAGGGAGGUCGGCGGUAGUCCCGGGGUAGGGGCGAAAUCCUAUAAUCCCGGGAGGACCACCAGUGGCGAAGGCGUCACGCUAGAACGGAUCCGACGGUCAGGGACGAAGCCCAGGGGCGCAAACGGGAUUAGAUACCCCGGUAGUCC
rnacentral:rRNA from 1 species